rnacentral:rRNA from 1 species
CGGUUGAUCCUGCCGGAGGUCACUGCUAUCGGGGUUCGAUUAAGCCAUGCGAGUCGAGAGGGUUCAGACCCUCGGCGGACUGCUCAGUAACACGUGGAUAAUCUGCCCUAUGGUGGAGGAUAACCCCGGGAAACUGGGGAUAAUACUCCAUAAGUCAGGAGUACUGGAAUGUCUCCUAACUGAAAGUUGCGGCGCCAUAGGAUGAAUCUGCGGCCGAUUAGGUAGUUGUUGGGGUAACGGCCCAACAAGCCCGUAAUCGGUACGGGUUGUGGGAGCAAGAGCCCGGAGAUGGAAUCUGAGACACGAUUCCAGGCCCUACGGGGCGCAGCAGGCGCGAAAACUUUACAAUGCAGGAAACUGUGAUAAGGGAACCCCGAGUGCCCGUACACGCGGGCUGUCCCGGUGUUUAAAACACAUCGGAAGAAAGGGCCGGGCAAGACCGGUGCCAGCCGCCGCGGUAAUACCGGCGGCUCGAGUGGUGACCACUUUUAUUGGGCUUAAAGCGUUCGUAGCUUGAUUUUUAAGUCUCUUGGGAAAUCUCACGGCUUAACUGUGAGGCGUCUAAGAGAUACUGGGAAUCUAGGGACCGGGAGAGGUAAGAGGUACUUCAGGGGUAGAAGUGAAAUUCUGUAAUCCUUGAGGGACCACCGAUGGCGAAGGCAUCUUACCAGAACGGCUUCGACAGUGAGGAACGAAAGCUGGGGGAGCGAACGGGAUUAGAUACCCCGGUAGUCCCAGCCGUAAACUAUGCGCGUUAGGUGUGCCUGUAACUACGAGUUACCGGGGUGCCGAAGUGAAAACGUGAAACGUGCCGCCUGGGAAGUACGGUCGCAAGGCUGAAACUUAAAGGAAUUGGCGGGGGAGCACCACAACGGGUGGAGCCUGCGGUUUAAUUGGACUCAACGCCGGGCAGCUCACCGGAUAGGACAGCGGAAUGAUAGCCGGGCUGAAGACCUUGCUUGACCAGCUGAGAGGAGGUGCAUGGCCGUCGUCAGUUCGUACUGUGAAGCAUCCUGUUUAGUCAGGCAACGAGCGAGACCCCC